AAGUUCCUUGUAGCCGAUAUAGUUUAUAUAAACACAUGUUAGUGAAUGGCGAAAUACCCACUGAUCACAGCAUUUACUCGACACAGGUGAACGACUCUGGACUUCUAGCGCUGUGACGGUUUAUGAUUAAAAAUUUAUGACAAGUGUUAAAAGUUAUUUAUAAGGAGGCGUACGUGUAGAGUCUCAGUGCCAUACCUGGAGCGAGAGAAGGAAAGAUGAGAAACAGGAAGGAAAAUAACGGUGAUUCGGAUGGACAGAAAGUUAAUAACAACGACACCAGCAAUGAAUGCCGGGAAAAGUUCUAUUCAAAAUUGUGUGAAUUAAGAGAACGGGCUCGGAAAACGGGACUUGAAAAAGACUUUGUUGCCCAUGUGUUUAGGGCUCGUGGAAAUCUAAAAUUCCAACCUCAAGAACAAAUAUCAUGGCCAAAAACCAUAGCAAUGGCCUUGACCGUUUCAUUCCUUGUAAUGGCAGGGGUCGCGACCUUUGCUGGGGUUAUCAUAAAAGUUACCGGGUGGGAUGAGGAAAUAUAUGCCUCCUUUCGCGAGUCACAUUGCCUUCUAGAUAAUGGGGGGUUUACGAUAGAAAUCGCCAGGCCUCUGACGAACUGUGAUUGUUGUAGAAAUCUCAAGGAGUUUCCCAUUGAAAGGAAUAUCUCCGCGGACGAUUUUGUGAGGAAAUACGCAUACACCGCGGUGCCUGUUCUUAUUAAAGAUGCUACUCAAAACUGGACAGCAAUGAGAAACUUCAGUUUUGAUUUUUUCAAAAAUUUGUACACAACUACGAAAGAUGCUUUGACAGUAAUUGAGGAAGAAUGCCAGUUUUUCCCCUACAAAACAGAGUUUGAGACCCUGGCCGAUGUAUUCAAUAUGUCGACUGAAAGGGCCAAUUUUACCCCAGGGGAAAAACCCUGGUAUGUCGGGUGGAGUAACUGUCACUCGGACGUGGCGACCGUCCUCAGACAACACUAUAACCGGCCCUACUUCCUUCCUGUGGACUCCGAAUCCAGUCAGGUGGACUGGAUCUUCAUGGGCGGACCUGGACUGGGGGCAUUCGUUCACCUUGACUACGUCCAGCGACCGUCAUGGCAAGCACAGAUAUCAGGACAGAAAACCUGGACUCUGAUUCCAACCCCCGAGUGUGAGCACGUGUGUACGGCGCUAAACGUCACCGUCAGUAAAGGAGAUAUCAGUAAGUAUCGAUAUCUGGAAGACAGAUAUCUAAUUGGUAUCUACAUCUAAUAUGUAUAAAAGCCUUUAAGUUAGCAUGCACUUCAAAUAUGAAAAUAUAUAUGAUUAGGAAGAUAUCGUGUGGGGGUUGUCGGUAAGUAUCGAUAUCUGAAAGAGAGAUAUCUAGUUGACAUCUACCUAAGAUAUUAAAAAUCUUUAAGUUAAUAUUAUAUACUUAUGACGAUAUGAUGCACUUCAAAUAUGACGAAAGGAUGCAUAUUUAUUACGUAUCCGUAUUGCAUAUCACUGUGUGUGUUCAUAUAAAAGGGGCUGGGUCGAUAUCAUGGACUCCAUAUACUACAACCACAGGUCCUGUCUUCUUUAAAUGUUACUUUGCUUCAGCAAUCACAGUUAAUGUCUUGGUAGAUUAAAAAUCCAACGAACGAUUAUUAUAUUAUACGUAUUCUUAUAACAUGAGUCAAGACCCAAAUUACAGAAGGAGUAUUAGUAUAAUACUCAAGUACAUCGGACCAUGAAAUAUCAUUAGUUAACUUAUCACAUUAAUAAGUUAUCAGUAUCAAUGACUCGAUUUGUACAUUUUUUUUUUUAAGAAGUAGCAAUUUUGGUCUUAAUUUUUACUUUAUGCGAAAAAAGGGAAUGACUGUAUAUAAUUAGGCAUAUAACACAUAUAGUCUAUACUAUUCUGUGAGAGUAAUAUCAUAUUGAACAAAUUUUAAAUCCUGUGUGUUGGUGUACAAUAAAAUACAGUGCUAUGUUGAAAUUAUUUGGCAAGAAUUUGGUUGUAAAGUAAUCUAAGUACAUACAUGUCAUUUUAGAGGUUUAACUUCAUCAAAGAUUUGUUAAUGAGAUAUGUUAGAUAAGCCAUGCAUACUCUGCCAAUUAAAUCAAUACAUGUACAAAAGGACACAGAACUGAAGUGUCACAGUACACAUACAGUCUGCAUUAUUCGUCCUUUUUAUUUCCCGUCUGAUAUCGUAUUGCAUGUCCCAGAUACAAGUCAGAUAAACCCCGACAAGAACGGAAGUAUUUUCUUGUAAACACUUGAAAUCACGCAAGACAACGAACAGCCACAAUCCCACCGCGUACUUACAACACUUAUUAGUAUGUACAGUGUAUAUAUACAAUGUACAGGCUAGUACAUUUUGAAGCGUAUUAUGAUCGGGAUCUAUGUAAUACAUUUUCAGAAAGCUGUAUUCUCCUUUUAUUUACACUAGAUCUUGACCUAAAAAAUGAAAAAACCAUUCCUUUUUCUAUGAUUCUUGCUAUUGUGUCCUUGAAAAGAUAAACAGACAUUCUGUACUAACCAAAAUUAUGGAGCAAUAUUCAAAAGACAGUGAUAUUUGUUUAUUCAAACACGAUUUCACAGAUUUUAUCUGAAUCGGAAACACGACUUUCCUACGGCAAGAUCACGCUGAAUUAUGAUAUUGUUAUAUAAUUUACAUGCAAAUAGAUUUAUACACACUUACACACACACACACUUAGGCCCAAUUAGUUUUAUUAUGUCAUGUUCUUUUCACAUAGUACUUAUAAUUUCUAGGAGAUAAUUUGUUGGGUUUUUUUUUUUCAGUUGUAUUAGACACGAACCAAUGGUACCACGCCACUUAUAUCCAUCCUGGAGAAAUAAGCAUCACUAUUGGAUCCGAGUACGACUAAUUAAAUAAAAUGUUAUCUCCAG
rnacentral:misc_RNA from 1 species